rnacentral:rRNA from 1 species
CUAAGUUUGAUGGCGACCGGCGCACGGGUGAGUAACACGUAUCCAACCUGCCGAUGACUCGGGGAUAGCCUUUCGAAAGAAAGAUUAAUACCCGAUGGCAUAGUUCUUCCGCAUGGUGGAACUAUUAAAGAAUUUCGGCCAUCGAUGGGGAUGCGUUCCAUUAGGUUGUUGGCGGGGUAACGGCCCACCAAGCCUUCGAUGGAUAGGGGUUCUGAGAGGAAGGUCCCCCACAUUGGAACUGAGACACGGUCCAAACUCCUACGGGAGGCAGCAUG